AUUGAACGCUGGCGGCAGGCCUAACACAUGCAAGUCGAGCGGCAGCGGGAAAGUAGCUUGCUACUUUUGCCGGCGAGCGGCGGACGGGUGAGUAAUGCCUGGGAAAUUGCCCAGUCGAGGGGGAUAACAGUUGGAAACGACUGCUAAUACCGCAUACGCCCUACGGGGGAAAGCAGGGGACCUUCGGACCUUGCGCGAUUGGAUAUGCCCAGGUGGGAUUAGCUAGUUGGUGAGGUAAUGGCUCACCAAGGCGACGAUCCCUAGCUGGUCUGAGAGGAUAAUCAGCCACACUGGAACUGAGACACGGUCCAGACUCCUACGGGAGGCAGCAGUGGGGAAUAUUGCACAAUGGGGGAAACCCUGAUGCAGCCAUGCCGCGUGUGUGAAGAAGGCCUUCGGGCUGUAAAGCACUUUCAGCGAAGAGGAAAGGUUGAUGCCUAAUACGUAUCAACUGUGACGUUACUCGCAGAAGAAGCACCGGCUAACUCCGUGCCAGCCGCCGCCGUAAAAC
rnacentral:rRNA from 1 species